GUGCAGCAGUCGAGAAACCUCCGCAAUGCGCGAAAGCGCGACGGGGUUACCCGAGUGCCGUCCGCUGAGGACGGCUUUUGCCCAGUGUAGCCAGCUGGGCGAAUAAGGAGAGGGCAAGUCUGGUGUCAGCCGCCGCGGUAAUACCAGCUCUCCGAGUGGUGGGGACGCUUAUUGGGCCUAAAGCAUCCGUAGCCGGUCUGGCAAGUCCCUUGUUAAAUCCAACGAUUCAAUCGUUGGACUGCAAGGGGAUACUGCCAGACUAGGGGCGGGAGAGGCCGACGGUAUUCCCGGGGUAGGGUGAAAGUCCGUAUAAUCCCGGGAGGACCACCAGUGGGGAAGGCUGUCGGCUAGAACGCG
rnacentral:rRNA from 1 species